GUUGAAAAGAACUUUGAAGAGAGAGUUCAAGAGUACGUGAAACCGUUCAGGGGUAAACCUGAGAAACCCAAAAGAUCGAAUGGGGAGAUUCAGCGUUCAACGGCCCGUCUGGCUUGCGUGCGACGUCACGAUGUCGCGGUGUUAUGCGCCCUCGCCGGUGUGCAUAUACCGUGACACGUCGUCGCUGCGUCAUGACCGGCGCCGUCGGCGUGUACUUCUCCCCUAGUAGAACGUCGCGACCCGUUGUGCGUCGGCCAAAGGCUCGAAGGGUAGACUAUCGCGCUCUCUCCCCGGAGGGCGCGGCAGACCCUCGAAAGCCCGGCCCGACUGCUCGACGGUAUUCGAAUAUCACAAGGUGUGUAAUCGAGAGCCGCAUUUGAAUGCGUUCGGCGCGUCGGUCGGCUUCGGCUCGCUCGGUUAUUUUACGGACCUGGAUGCCGUUACUGGGCGCUUGCCGAGGCUUUUUGUACCGACGACGAUCUCGAACCGGCUCUGCGCGCGCGAAAGCGUUCGCGCUCUCGCGCGCUCACCUGUCGGCGACGCUUUUGCUUUGGGUACUUUC
rnacentral:rRNA from 1 species